GAACAUGGAAAAAUAAAAGUUAAGAAGCCAAGAGUUAUUAUGCAAGAAAUUGAAAGAACAAAAAUAGUUUGUAUUGACUGUUUAGUAUUGACUGUCUCAUUUUUUUUUUGAAGGGGGAGUCUGCCUCCUAGAUGGAGCAAGUCUACGAGACCAGACGGAGAGUAAAUUCAGAAUAGAGAUGUCUAGUCCAGGAUAGACCCCUGU